GUCGUGACUGCGUGCCUUUUGAAGAAUGAGCCUGCGAGUUUGCGGCAUGUUGCGAGGUUAACCCGUGUGGGGGAGCCGUAGCGAAAGCGAGUCCGAAGAGGGCGUUGAGUAGCGUGUUCAAGACCCGAAGCGGGGUGAUCUAGCCAUGGGCAGGGUGAAGCGCGGGUAAGACCGUGUGGAGGCCCGAACCCACCAGGGUUGAAAACCUGGGGGAUGACCUGUGGUUAGGGGUGAAAGGCCAAUCAAACUCCGUGAUAGCUGGUUCUCCCCGAAAUGCAUUUAGGUGCAGCGUCGUGUGUUUCUUGCCGGAGGUAGAGCACUGGAUAGGCGAUGGGCCUUACCGGGUUACUGACCUUAGCCAAACUCCGAAUGCCGGUAAGUGAGAGCGCGGCAGUGAGACUGUGGGGGAUAAGCUCCAUGGUCGAGAGGGAAACAGCCCAGAGCAUCGACUAAGGCCCCUAAGCGUGUGCUAAGUGGGAAAGGAUGUGGAGUCGCAGAGACAACCAGGAGGUUGGCUUAGAAGCAGCCAUCCUUGAAAGAGUGCGUAAUAGCUCACUGGUCAAGUGAUUCUGCGCCGAUAAUGUAGCGGGGCUCAAGUACACCGCCGAAGUCGUGUCACUGCAAUGUGAGGGCUAACGCCUGUUGUGGUGGGUAGGGGAGCGUCGUGUGCCGGGUGAAGCAGCCGUGGAAGCGAGUUGUGGAUGGUUCACGAGUGAGAAUGCAGGCAUGAGUAGCGAUACAUGCGUGGGAAACGUGUGCGCCGAUUGACUAAGGGUUCCUGGGUCAAGUUGAUCUGCCCAGGGUAAGUCGGGACCUAAGGCGAGGCCGACAGGCGUAGUCGAUGGAGAACCGGUUGAUAUUCCGGUACCCGCUAUGCAGCGUCAAACAUCGAAUCAGGUGAUGCUAAGUCCGUGAAACCGCCUGUGCCGGCUUUGCUGGUUGCGGGUUUGGUGGAGCCGACGGUCCGAGUCUGUAGUAGGUGAGUGAUGGGGUGACGCAGUGAGGUAGUCCAUCCCGGGCGGUGGUUGUCCCGGGGUAAGGGUGUAGCCCGUCAGGUAGGUAAAUCCGUCUGGCGUUACAGGGGUGAGACCUGAUGCCGAGCCGUUUGUGGUGAAGUGGAUGAUCCUGUGCUGUCGAGAAAAGCCUCUAGCGAGUUGUGUGGCGGCCCGUACCCUAAACCGACUCAGGUGGUCUGGUAGAGAAUACCGAGGCGUUCGGGUGAACUAUGGUUAAGGAACUCGGCAAAAUGCCCCCGUAACUUCGGGAGAAGGGGGGCCUCUUCUGGUGAUCCAAUGUGCUUGGUGAGCUGGGGGUGGCCGCAGAGACCAGCGAGAAGCGACUGUUUACUAAAAACACAGGUCCGUGCGAAGCUGUAAGGCGAGGUAUACGGACUGACGCCUGCCCGGUGCUGGAACGUUAAGGGGACCGGUUAGUCAGGAUUCGUCCUGGUGAAGCUGAGAACUUAAGCGCCAGUAAACGGCGGUGGUAACUAUAACCAUCCUAAGGUAGCGAAAUUCCUUGUCGGGUAAGUUCCGACCUGCACGAAUGGCGUAACGACUUCUUGACUGUCUCAACCAUAGGCCCGGUGAAAUUGCACUACGAGUAAAGAUGCUCGUUUCGCGCAGCAGGACGGAAAGACCCCGGGACCUUUACUACAGCUUGAUAUUGGUGUUCGGUUCGGCUUGUGUAGGAUAGGUGGGAGACUGUGAAGCGGGCACGCCAGUGUUCGUGGAGUCGUUGUUGAAAUACCACUCUGGUCGUGCUGGAUGUCUAACCUGGGUCCGUGAUCCGGAUCGGGGACAGUGUCUGGUGGGUAGUUUAACUGGGGCGGUUGCCUCCUAAAGGGUAACGGAGGCGCCCAAAGGUUCCCUCAGCCUGGUUGGUCAUCAGGUGGUGAGUGUAAGUGCACAAGGGAGCUUGACUGUGAGACUGACGGGUCGAGCAGGGACGAAAGUCGGGACUAGUGAUCCGGCGGUGGCUUGUGGAAGCGCCGUCGCUCAACGGAUAAAAGGUACCCCGGGGAUAACAGGCUGAUCUUCCCCAAGAGUCCAUAUCGACGGGAUGGUUUGGCACCUCGAUGUCGGCUCGUCGCAUCCUGGGGCUGGAGUCGGUCCCAAGGGUUGGGCUGUUCGCCCAUUAAAGCGGUACGCGAGCUGGGUUUAGAACGUCGUGAGACAGUUCGGUCCCUAUCCGCUGCGCGCGUUGGAGUCUUGAGAAGGGCUGUCCCUAGUACGAGAGGACCGGGACGGACGGACCUCUGGUGUGCCAGUUGUUCUGCCAAGGGCAUGGCUGGUUGGCUACGUUCGGGAAGGAUAACCGCUGAAAGCAUCUAAGCGGGAAGCCUGCUUCGAGAUGAGGACUCCUGCCAACGUGAUUGGGUAAGGCUCCCUGGAGAUGACGGGGUUGAUAGGCCAGGUCUGGAAGCACGGUAACGUGUGGAGGUGACUGGUACUAAUAGGCCGAGGGCUUGUCCGUA
rnacentral:rRNA from 1 species